AAAAAAAAAAACAAAAAACAAAACUCGGGAUCUCUCUUUCGCUCUCUCGCUCUGAUUUUCUCCGUCUCUCUCCCGCUCUGACUCUUUUUCUCUCAUGGUGGAAAUUUUUCUCUAGCUCGCUGUCUGUUUAUCAAACUCGCACUAGUUCACGCUGGCUGCUCUUGUCCCAACGUCUGAAGCUCUGUGACAGCGCUGUCUAUGAGAAGUUGUGGUGUAAUGUUUUAAACCAGUGUUUAGAGAGUGUCUAUAAGGUGCAACAAUGUCGGUAACAGCAGGUGUUAGUGAUACUGUGAUAGCAGUUAGGGAUAAGCUCAGAGGUAAAAUUGGGCAAACAAAAGUUAAAAGGUAUUGGCCUGGAAAAGCUCCCGAGUGGGCAGAUGAUGCCGACGAAGAUGGGGAUAUUAGGAUGUCCGCAGCUGCUUCAUUGGAGAAAGCUUUCCCCACGCAGGAAUAUUCUGAUGUUGUUAGAAAAGAUGAUCCUAGACUGCGCCGUUUGGCUGAGAGCAGGAUAGAUAAUCGUGAGGAUGUUCGAGCUGAUCAUAGGCGUAUCCGGCAAGCUGAGAUUGUUUCAACAAUUGAAGAAGAAGCCAAGAGGCAGGAAGGGUUAGAAGCGGAGGAAGAGGACGCAGAUGCUUUGGAGGAAAGAAGAAGAAGGAUCAAGGAGAAGUUGCGUCAAAGGGAGCAAGAAGAAGCUCCACUCCUUCUGUCGGAAGACGAGGAAGAAGUAAAGGAAGAGGAGGAAGAGGAGUCUGAGUAUGAUACUGACUCUGAAGAAGAGCUUACUGGUAUGGUGAUGUUGAAGCCUGUCUUUGUGCCAAAGUCAGAGAGAGAUACUAUUGCUGAACGUGAGCGACUUGAGGCUGAAGAACGAGCCCUUGAGGAAUCAAGGAAGAGGAAUUUGGAGGAAAGGAAGAGAGAGACAAAGCAGAUUGUGGUUGAGGAGAUUCGGAAGGACGAAGAGAUUCAGAAGGGUUUGGAACAGGAAGGAAAUAUUGCUGAUAUUGAUACUGAUGAUGAAAUAAACGAGGCAGAGGAGUAUGAAGCUUGGAAGGCAAGAGAGAUAGCCAGGAUCAAGAGGGAUAGGGAGGACCGGGAAGCAAUGAUAAAGGAGAAGGAAGAGAUUGAAAGGGUUAGGAACAUGACAGAGGAAGAGAGGAGGGACUGGGAGAGGAAGCAUCCGAAAGCUGCACCACAACCAAAGCAGAAGUGGAGAUUUAUGCAGAAAUAUUACCACAAGGGUGCUUUCUUCCAGUCAGAACCUGAUGACUAUGCUGCAACUGUUGGAACAGAUGGAAUUUACACACGUGAUUUCUCUGCCCCAACUGGAGAAGAUAAGAUGGACAAAACAAUAUUGCCCAAGGUCAUGCAGGUCAAACAUUUUGGUCGUAGUGGAAGGACGAAAUGGACUCAUCUUGUCAAUGAGGAUACCACUGAUUGGAACAAUCCAUGGACGUACAACGAUCCUCUUCGGUCAAAGUAUAAUGCUAAAAUGGCAGGAAUGAAUGCGCCUAUUGCAAAACCCAAAGGAAGCAAGAAAUUGAAGGAUUGGGAGUCUCGUUGAUUUAUAACUACUCAUUCAUGUGCAAGAAGCUUGGUUUUGUAAUUUAUCUGAUUUUUUCAUGACGGAAUACGAGUUUGUGGGAGAAUAUUACAUUCUUCAAUGUAUUUUCGCAAGGUAGGACUGCUCAGGGCACAACCAUAUUGCGCUUUCUUGCUCCAAUAAGUGUACCAGUGGAUUUUGCGGUGGCUAGUUUCAUUUGCAUUUCGUUCUUUUCAUUUGGGAGAAGUUCAAAGGGUAAGUCUUUAGGAGUAUUUUGUCUGCUAGAGAUAUUUGAUUUAUAUUAAUGCGACGGAUAGUCGGUAUAGUUACUAGAACAUUCCUUUUGUGUGGUAUCAUCUUUCAUCAAAUUCCUGAUAAACAAUAAUAGAUAUAAUUUUAUUUUUUUAUU